UACGUAGGGUGCGAGCGUUAAUCGGAAUUACUGGGCGUAAAGCGUGCGCAGGCGGUUCGUUGUGUCGGCGGUGAAAGCCCCGGGCUCAACCUGGGAAUGGCCGUUGAAACUGGCGAACUGGAGUGUGGCAGAGGGGGGUGGAAUUCCGCGUGUAGCAGUGAAAUGCGUAGAGAUGCGGAGGAACACCGGAGUGGAGCGGAAGGCCAGCCCCUGGG
rnacentral:rRNA from 1 species